AGUUUGAUCAUGGCUCAGGACGAACGCUGGCGGCGUGCCUAACACAUGCAAGUCGAGCGGGGUCCAUCCGGUAGCAAUACCGGGGAAGACCUAGCGGCGAACGGGUGAGUAACACGUGAGAAACCUGCCCCGAAGUCUGGGAUAACCCGAGGAAACUCGAGCUAAUACCGGAUGUCUUCUUCUGAUCGCAUGGUCGGAUGAAGAAAGAUUUAUCGCUUCGGGAGGGUCUCGCGGCCUAUCAGCUAGUUGGCGGGUAACGGCCCACCAAGGCGUCGACGGGUAGCUGGUCUGAGAGGACGAUCAGCCACACUGGGACUGAGACACGGCCCAGACUCCUACGGGAGGCAGCAGUGGGGAAUAUUGCGCAAUGGGCGAAAGCCUGACGCAGCAACGCCGCGUGCGGGAUGAAGGCCUUCGGGUUGUAAACCGCUUUCAGUGGGGACGAAUUCAGACGGUAUCCACAGAAGAAGCCCCGGCCAACUACGUG
rnacentral:rRNA from 1 species